rnacentral:rRNA from 10 species
AUGUGCAGAUGAGUAGCAGGGCGUAGGGAUUGCGCCGAAGUCUGGACGUGAGUUCGGAUGGAGCGGUCUCUAGUGCAGAUCUUGGUGUUAGUAGCAAAUACUCAAAUGAGAUGUUUGAGGGCUGAGUGGAGAAAGGUUCCAUGAGAACAGCAUUUGGUCAUGGGUUAGUCGAUCCUAAGGCGUUGGGUAAUUCCGA